CCUACGGGAGGCAGCAGUGAGGAAUAUUCGUCAAUGGGCUUAACCCUGAACCAGCAAAGUCGCGUGAGGGAAGACUGCCCUCUGGGUUGUAAACCUCUUUUGUCAGGGAGAAACGCCGGCUACGUGUAGCCGGACUAAGAGUACCUGAAUAAAAAGCAUCGGCUAACUCCGUGCCAGCAUGCGUGGUAAUAGGGAGGAUGCGAUCGUUAUCCGGAUUUGUUGGGUUAAAAGGGUGCGUAGUCGGAAAGCCAAGUCAGAGGUAAAAUCGCGGGGCUCAACCUCGCUCCGCCGUUGAAACUGGCGUUCUAGAGUGGGCGAGAAGUAUGCGGAAUGCGUGGUGUAGCGGUGAAAUGCAGAGAUAUCACGCAGAACUCCGAUGGCGAAGGCAGCAUACCGGCGCCGAACUGACGCUGAAGCACGAAAGCGUGGGUAGCGAACAGGAUUAGAUACCCGUGUAGUC
rnacentral:rRNA from 1 species